GGAAUCAGUUUGGGCAAUUGGGUAGUGGUGGUGAUCAAGCAGAGGUACAGUACAAUGCCAAUUUCCCUCCAUCAUAGGAUAAUAAAUGAAUAUGUUGCCAUAUCAUGGUGUGAUAACUUGGUGUGCUUAUAAGAUCUUCAAAGAAAGAUGGGACCAGCCAUAUUUAAAUAUUUAGGGGAAAAAAAAUGCUGAAAUGGAUUGUUGUUUAUAAUAAGUGGUCAACUUUUAGUUUUGAAUCAGGUUACUGCAAAAGAUGUCUAGACUUUUAAAAAUAGUACCCUGGCAUGUUUAUUAUCACUGCUUCAGAGCCUCUGCACAUAAUUAUAAGAUUAAACAAUUUACUGUUGUUAUUUCUGCGCUAUAUUUUUGAGUCAUCACUACUGUUUCAUGCAGGCUUUGCCAUAACCCUUAUGUUAAUUAAUGAUUUUCAUCUUGUGGAAAUUUGUGCAAUUAACUGUCACAAAUUUAUUGAAUUUCUAAACCAGACUACACCCAGGCUCUUGGAUGCUCCAUGUUUGGAAGAUGCACAUGCAAAAACAAUCUCCUGUGGGGCUCGUCACACUGCUUUAGUCACAGGUAUGCAAACCAUAUUCAAAAAACCUUCCAUAUCUAUACAUUUUGCGAUGUUGUACCCAUAUAUAUGUCAUUUUAGUGCACAUUUGACCUCUACUUAAUAUUGUUUUGAGUGCACAUGCUUCUGCGUGUGAGAACAUCCCAGCCAGGGGCGGCACUUUGUGUGGGGGGUUGUGCAAAUCCAAUGUCUGUUCUUCCCUCUUGUCAGCAGCAACUUACAGAGUGUUAGUUUGUUGGGGUAAAGUAAAAGUCUAAAUGAUUUUCUUAAAUUGUAAUUUGAUGAUUAGAAAGAUUAAGAAGUGGCAUUGCUGAAAAGUUAAUUAUGGCUAAGGAGAGACGAAGGCUAGAAGGAUUGAGAGGACCAAUUUCUGGUUUCUAGAUGUAGUAACUGGUUUGAAUUCUGAAUUAGGACCAACUGAGAUGAAUGGACAACUACAAAAUUUGGCUCAACAUAUAUAUGCAAGGCACACUCUUGGUUGAGAUGAAGUGGAUAAUUUUAUUUGUCUAUGAAUUUUUAAUAGUUACAUUUCAUCGAAUCUCUUUGCUAGCCUCAUCAAUUCAUUUUAACCUUUUAUUCUUAUUUUGAGAGUGGUAUUGGAAUUGUUUUUUUUUAAGCGUUCCACAAAUUUGAUGCCUAACUCUCUACUUCUGUUUCAUGAAGAGGAUCGGAAAGUGUUUUGCUGGGGAUGGAACAAGUAUGGUCAGGUAUUAUGCUUAACACACACCAAAUGUUAAAUUUAUGGAGCAUCUGGAACAAUUUUGGAUUAAUUUCAUUUAUGUGCUUCAUGGGAAGCUAAAUAAGAAUAAUAUUUAUGCACAUAUGUCAAACUUUGAAUAUUAUUAGUUAAUAUUUGAGGGGAAAAAAAAGAAUAAUAUGGAGCAAUAUAUAUUUCCAGUGAUGAAUAAGUUUUCACAUGUUUAUAUGAGACAAUUCUAAUGCAAAAUAUAUUUUUUAAAGUGGUUAUAGGGUUGGUGAAUCGGAUCAGAGGUAGGAAGAGAAAUUAUUAAGUGCAUCAGGUUACUAUCUCUCACAAUCAUGUGAGACCUAUUCUCUAUGAUAUAGGAAGGGUCAACAUUUCUGUGAGGAAUAAAAUACUAUUUUUUAGUAUUCCCGGUGUAUCUAAUAACUAGCCGGAUUAGGAAAAGGUUAGAUAGCCCCAUGCAAUCUCUCUCCAAAUUAAAUUAGAUAAUAACGUUUAACAUCAAGGUCUGUGUGACAGCUUGGAUUGGGUGAUGUGAUCGACCGCAACAUUCCU
rnacentral:misc_RNA from 1 species